AGUUCAGGGGUAUUCUGGUUGCCUUACCCAGCUCUGAAGUCUGUCAGCCUCUUCAGAUGUCACUUGCCAUGUGGUAAGGAAGUGUAGUCAGCAGCUGGUGCAGUGGGAAGAAGAGAAAGGAAGUUCCCCAAGACAAAAACAUCUCGGCAGACUUCAUCAUGAAUUCAUGGCAUCACACAGUCCCCUGAUGCUAUAACAUCAUGGAUUUCUUUUGUCCAGUGAGAGGCCCAAAAGCUGCAGCAUAGACAAUAUCAUAGUGUAGAAGGUUCACUAGACCGUGAUCAUGGGCUACAUUCUCCGUACCAGCUUCAUAGCUCCAGUGAGAAAAUAAAUUCCUGCAUCCAGGAGAUGUGGAGUAAGAGAUACAGCUGCCCUUGACCAUAUUUCUUACUUCCGAGAAGAUCGUAGCAGUAAUUCAGAAUCUCAUCCAGGAUACCUCAUCACAGGCUGGAGUGCAGUGUCAUGAGCUUGGCUCACUACAGCCUCCAUCUUCUGUGCUUAAGGAUCCUUCCCUCUCAACCUCCAAGGUAGCUGAGACUACAGGCAACAUUCGAAACCCAG
rnacentral:lncRNA from 1 species